CCCUUAGAUGUUCUGGGCUGCACGCGCGCUACACUGAAGCUAUCAACACGUUUUCCCUCCCUGAGAAGGGCGGGUAACCUUUUGAAUCAGCUUCGUGGUAGGGAUCGGGGCUUGCAAUUGUUCCCCGUGAACCAGGAAUUCCUAGUAGACGCGAGUCAUAAGCUCGCAUCGAUUAAGUCCCUGCCCUUUGUACACAACGCCCGUCGCUACUACCGAUUGAACGUUUUAGUGAGGCAUUUGGACCGACGCAUCUCAGUUUAACCGCUGGUUUGUGUUGGAAAGACUUCCAAACUUGAGCGUUUAGAGGAAGUAAAAGUCGUAACA
rnacentral:rRNA from 1 species